rnacentral:rRNA from 1 species
UACGUAGGGUGCAAGCGUUGUCCGGAAUUAUUGGGCGUAAAGAGCGUGUAGGCGGCCAUGUAGGUCCGGUGUGAAAACUCGAGGCUUAACCUCGAGAUGUCAUCGGAAACCAUUUGGCUAGAGUCCGGAAGAGGAGAGUGGAAUUCCUGGUGUAGCGGUGAAAUGCGCAGAUAUCAGGAGGAACACCGGUGGCGAAGGCGGUGGUCUGGGCCGGCACUGACGCUGAGGAGCGAAAGCGUGGGUAGCAAACAGG